AGAUUGACUAUUGGUAUACGGGAUUAUUCGUGAACUCAAAUGCCCCCAAUCCGCCGAUGAGAGCUGCAACUGUGUUUUACAGCUGACACACUUCCACUUUCGACCAGGUGAAAUGGGAUUUUAUGGCUGAGCGCGCGCCGCUGUCCGCGCGGGCUCUUCUCAUGUGUGUGGAUGGUGUUUACUAAUCUCAUCUGGAGAGGCCGAGGCCGACAUUUUACCCCGGUCCGGAGGAGCCGUACGUCCGAGGGGACAUCCGAGGACACGCGAUAAGGCUGGGAGGCUGAGAGCUGCAGGGCUGCGACAUGUGAAAGGAGCUCCACCCCUUGACCCUCUCGACUCUCAACCUCAGCAGAACUCACUUUAAACCGACGUUGUGUCCGCGACCUGACACCAUCCUGCCUCGGGCAUGCCUCAGCCGGGUAUGAAUGGGAUGGAGCCUGCGUUUGGCGAGGCCUACGGGGGACACAGGGGUCUUCUGAGUCCCUACCCACUGGCCAUGUCGCCACAAGGGGGCAGGACUGAGUACGACCAGGUGAGACAACACCCGCCGCAAAGUUUUCCGAGUCACAUAGUCUACAGUCACGACGCUGCACUUCUGGGGUUGCUCUGUUGCUGCCGGAAGUUCUGCCGGGU